ensembl:lncRNA
GGCUCUGCCUUCCUUUUGGAUAAUAAGCCUUGUUCUGAAGCUCCUGUUCAGCCAUCUCCACCAGGGUUGAGGGGUAUAGGAAACCAUACCAUCUGGAGGAAAUAAAGCCAAUGAGCAAAGAGAAACACAGCUGAGGGAUGUAAAGAAUUCAUAUCAGAAUUGUGCAAACAGAAAUAUCCAAGAAAACAACUAUAGUCCCAGGUUACCUGGUUGGUAGCUGGUACAGUGGGGCCAGAGCCCACGCACAAGCAUUUCCCAGGACACUCUGGGAACAGUGGCAUUACUUGGAUGGAUGGCGGCCCCACCUGCCUCUCCUCUGUCUUGUGUGUGAGUCCACAAUAAUGUCUCAAAAAUCCCUGGAGGCCAGUUUUGAGUCAUGUGUGAUGCACAGAGAAGAUGUGUUUUCAGACCUUACAUUGACUGCCUUAUGGUAUAAGAACAAUUCAGAGGACCUCCAUCAUGCCUUGCUAACCUCUGUGGAGGUAAUAAAGGAUCAACUGAGUCACAUUCUCUAGAGCCACCAAGAAUAGGAUCUAGGAUAUAUAGGAAGUUACACCAACAACUCAGCUCUCAAGAAAUUGAUUUUUGUGGUUAGCUUCUUUCAAGUGGAAGACACAGAGACUCACUCAAGUUGCCUGGAGAAAACUGAGUUGGGAGUAAGACACACAUAGAAUAGGACAUUCUCUCUCUGUCUCCUACAGAGCACCUCUGCCUCACUCCAUGCAUUUGCUUCUGUCUCCUCCUCCUUCUAACUAGCUUUCCUAGAGAUUCUGCU